GCACUUCGGUAUAACGAAAUGUGCUGCUUCGACUUGCUCCAAGUUCCAUGACCGAGAAUAGACGCUUCGACUAAAACAUUUAAAGAAGGAAUUCUACGUACGCAGUCAUUAACAAAAUUUUAACGUAAGGUAUGAUCGACCGCUCUACAAUUAUCGGUCGCCUUUGUAGCAAGAAUGAAUGGGAUGUCAGUCAAUCGUCGACAGCCAAUGCGACCGUAUGCUAUGCACAUCCGACUAUGCAUACGUGUCAUCUUGUCCGCAAGGUUGCCACUCAUGGUGUCCGUAUCUUACUUGAUUACAACUAAACCGUACACGGUAUGUACUCUGAAACCACGUUAGCGUUCUAUGAAUGAACGUACGUGCAUCGUAUUACUGGUCGAGGCACGUACAUAUGUAAAAAGCCAAAAAGAGACAAUGAGAGGAAGAAAGGGACAAACGGAGGAAACGGAUAACUGGAAGAGCGUACUACCGGUUACUGCUUCAUCGUACAAAUCAAUAUAUUUAUAUAUCCAUGAAUUAUGUAUGCACACUAUCGCUUAUAAAUAAUAUACCACCACUUGAUCAAUCUGUAGUAACGACAUUUGAAUUUUAGUAGGAUAUACAAAUUAAUGGGAAAUUAAUAA